AUCUCCUGCAUAUGCCAAGAUAAGUCUUUUACUUGUUGUUGCCUCAUCAAGCAUCAGAACAUUUAUACCUACUGCUUUUUGGUCUCGGUAUGUUUUUAUCUAGAAAUAGAUAUGUAAUUAAAAGUUAUGAUGAAACGGAAAUUAAAAUGAAGGUGGAUCAUGAGGAAUAUUUGAACUGAAUGGAAAAGUAAGGUUUGUGUGGACCUUGGUGUCUAGAUGAAGAAUUUUGUACGAAAUUCAGUGAGACGGUUGAAUAUAAGAAUAAGACAUCAUAUCCAAUUGCAGUUUCUUAUUAAAGUAGUCUUAGUGGAUACAUCAUACAUGUGUCAAUGACAGGCUAGCUUAACCAUACUUUUUUCACCUUUCCAUGAUACGAGGAACAUUGCCUUCUCUUUUUCUUAGAAUCUAAUCCUCCACCCCUUCUUUUUUUUUUUCUGAUUUUUUCGUUUCUCUUAUUUUAUAAGGCCCGAAUGAGAUUAGAACCAAGAAAGCACACAACUAGCUGAAGAGAAAGGGAUUAGAACCAAUGGCAAACAGAACAGAAGCAAAACCAGUUUCAGAAUUGACUUUUGCUUUUUGCAGAAAGAGAUUGAAGCAAGCAAACCAAUAACAUAUGAGCAGAGUGGAAUAGAACCUGUGUCGAGGGGAGACUCUGAGCCCCAAAAUAUAGGCCAGUUUUACAUAAACCGAAUUCCCUCUUGUAACUGUUUUUACACAACCUCUUAUCACCCCAACAACUUCUCCUCCUUCUCCAUAUUCUGCAACCUGUUAUUUUGACCAAAUGCAACAUUCAUUAGCCUUUCUCAAAACCAGCAACAGAUCUAUCUGAAAAACAUAAAUCCUACUUCAGUUUUAAAGGAAUGCAGGCUGAUUAUCAUACAAUUUCAAAGUGUAAAACUGAUACUAUUCCAAACUCAUAUUUUUUGUGCUGCAAUCAAAGUUGAAGAUAGUGUAAAACUGAAAAAACUGAAAAGUAAUGAGAUUUUUAACUAGAUUUGUAGCUGGUUGCUUACCAGCAUGACAUGCAAUUGAAAGUGACGGAUACGGCAUAUGGGGUCUCCCAUGAGGUCAGUGACAAGAGAUGGCUUUCCACUCUGCCCAACUUCACAAAGCCUCUCGAGUUUCUCUACUGCCACCUUGUGUCUAUCUUCAUCAUAUUCGUUUACCACAAUCAAUGGCUCCAUCACUGUCUCUGAUGGUGAUUUUGGAUAAACUUCUGCUGCUAUCUUUAGAGACAUGGUAUAGAUACAGAUGAUUAGAACAAUCAGUAGCAAGCAAAAGAGAAAGAAGAUCACUAAUUAUCCUUUGCUGCUUCUCAGUUGUGCUAGCUUCUAUCAGCUUUCGAUGCUCAUCUCCCUAUCUGUAUGUGAAUAUAUACAUCUUAGAAGCCCCAAGAAUAUGCAUACGUGGCACCUCCCCAAAGUUUAGUGGACCUUGUUCUUUUGGCAAAAAUGAAAAGAAAAGGAUGGAAAAAAUCUAAACUUGUAUUCUGCUAUUUCCAUUCCAUAAUAUUACAUCAUGUUCAUAUCUUCUUUUGUUUGUAGUGCGUGAUCCAAUACAUCAUGUACAUAUCGAAAUUAAAUAAGCUCUGGUGCGCCUGUACACUUUUUGUGAGAGAUAAUAAACCACAUAUUAUUUUGGAUCACUAUGCAGAGAGUUGAAAUUUCAAAUUUUUUCAGCAUUCACAUUAAAUGUGCACAAGGGAGAGCUGCACUAACCAGUCUUCGCAUUCAUUCACAAUGUGAUACACCCAUAUGAGGAUAAUGAUGUCCUAAUAAUGACAGGAACAACAACAAUGACAGCAAUAGCAGUUUAAGGUAAAGUUUAUCUGCAGUCAAAUGUAGUGCCCAAACUAUUGAAUAAUUGUCCCUUGUUCAUAAUACAAGAGUAGGUAUCACUUAUCCCUAUCCAAAGAAAAAAGCUCCACUGAAGGUUUAUUUUGGAAUGACAUCAAAGUAUGUGGUUUUAGAUGAGAAAGUGUGAUUUAACUGAGUAAAGGGUUACCAUUUAUGUCCUUGUGUGGUUAGUUCUGUCUUGUUAUUGUUAUUGAAUGAAAGAAGAGUGGUGGGUCAUUGAGUGUUCUUUAGAAUCAUGAUGGCAAAUGUUGUGCAAGAUUCGCCCAGGUGUUUGAAAACUAGAAGCCUGAAGCAUACACAAAUAAAGCCCUUAUCUUAUUACUUUCCUUUCACCAAUUAUUGGGGGAGGUGGCAUAGAAAGCAUGCCUUUCACCACGUUUUUGGUGAACAUGUGGGAUGCUACUGUGCGGCUUAAAAGUGGGGUUUUGAUCACCAUCAUCAUAUGCACAUAUUGAGCUCUUUUUUCAAUUGAAACCGUACCAUUCCUUUGUUUGUUUAUGUUUUAAAAGAAUGGUGCCAAGUGUUGUGAGAGAGAGAGAACAAACAACUCUUUCAAUGGCUACGCAUGUCCCUAGAAGCUUCAUUCACCCCAAGCCAAGCCAAGCCCAUAUCUCAUUAGCUGAUGUGUCUUCUUUCUAAAUUCGGAUCAGUUUUGCUCAUUCAUGACUGCUACACUGUGGUCCAUUUGUACUACAACUUACCUGUUAAGGAAUGCAAAAUUUAAUCUAAAAUUUCAUACACUUUGAGUCCUAUCACCACUUGCUCCAAAUGAUACAUGCAAAUGGUACAAAAGCAAAAAAGAACUCUCUCAUCAUCAAAAACAGAGAGCUCUCAAUACAGAAGAAAGCUAUGCAUAUACCAAUGUUCUGAUUGGACUUGCAUGAUCAAUGCACUAUCACCAAAACGAGAAGCUGGUCAAGAUAGAGCUGCAAAUUCUGAUUUGCCAUAUUAAUAAUCUGUCCAAAGCAUAUACUUUGACAUGAGGAAGUUGUGUUCUCUGUCCUUAUACCAACAAAAUCCCCAAUCAUCAUUCUUUGUAGCUUUGGUAAUUCAUCAUGAAGGCUAUGGUCAAUAAAUGAAUGUUCGCUCUCUUUUCUCUGUCCAA